rnacentral:rRNA from 1 species
UACGUAGGUGGCAAGCGUUGUCCGGAUUUACUGGGCGUAAAGAGCGCGCAGGCGGUCGUUCAAGUCGAAUGUGAAAUCCCCCGGCUCAACUGGGGAGGGUCAUUCGAUACUGAUCGACUCGAAGGCAGGAGAGGGAAGCGGAAUUCCCGGUGUAGUGGUGAAAUGCGUAGAUAUCGGGAGGAACACCAGUGGCGAAGGCGGCUUCCUGGCCUGUUCUUGACGCUGAGGCGGCGAAAGCUG